rnacentral:rRNA from 1 species
UAGGGAAUCUUCCGCAAUGGGCGAAAGCCUGACGGAGCAACGCCGCGUGAGUGAUGAAGGUCUUCGGAUCGUAAAACUCUGUUAUUAGGGAAGAACAAAUGUGUAAGUAACUAUGCAUGUCUUGACGGUACCUAAUCAGAAAGCCACGGCUAACUACGCGCCAGCAGCCGCGGUAAUACGUAGGUGGCAAGCGUUAUCCGGAAGUAUUGGGCGUAAAGCGCGCGUAGGCGGUUUUUUCAGUCUGAUGUGAAAGCCCACGGCUCAACCGUGGAGGGUCAUUGGAAACUGGAAAACUUGAGUGCAGAAGAGGAAAGUGGAAUUCCAUGUGUAGCGGUGAAAUGCGCAGAGAUAUAGAGGAACACCAGUGGCGAAGGCGACUUUCUGGUCUGUAACUGACGCUGAUGUGCGAAAGCGUGGGGCUCAAACAGG